rnacentral:rRNA from 1 species
ACUCAAAUGAAUUGACGGGGGCCCGCACAAGCGGUGGAGCAUGUGGUUCAAUUCGAAGCAACGCGAAGAACCUUACCUGGGUUUGAAUGUCACCUGUAAGCCUCAGAGACGAGGUCCCCUCUUCGGAGGCAGGUGGCGAGGUGCUGCAUGGCUGUCGUCAGCUCGUGUCGUGAGAUGUUGGGUUAAGUCCCGCAACGAGCGCAACCCUUGUCCAUAGUUGCUAACGGGUCAUGCCGAGAACUCUAUGGAGACUGCCGGUGAUAAACCGGAGGAAGGUGGGGAUGACGUCAAGUCCUCAUGGCCUUUAUGUCCAGGGCUACACACGUGCUACAAUGGGCGGCACAAAGAGUUGCGAUCCCGCGAGGGGGAGCUAAUCUCAAAAAACCGCUCUCAGUUCGGAUUGCAGUCUGCAACUCGACUGCAUGAAGCUGGAAUCGCUAGUAAUCGCGGAUCAGCACGCCGCGGUGAAUACGUUCCCGGGCCUUGUACACACCGCCCGU